UGAUGCCAGGGUCAAAAGGUCUAAGCCCACAUGAGCUUGCUCAUAGGUGGGUGAAAGACCUUAGGACCCGCCCCGAUAUGAGCAUAAAAGUGGGAUGAUAAUCCCACGAUAUGCGAAUAUUGGGUAGGGUGCUAUGUGCCAGUGGCACA
rnacentral:ncRNA from 2 species